rnacentral:rRNA from 1 species
UACGAAGGGUGCAAGCGUUACUCGGAAUUACUGGGCGUAAGGCGUGCGUAGGUGGUGAGUUAAGUCUGUCGUGAAAGCCCCGGGCUCAACCUGGGAAUGGCGAUGGAUACUGGCUCGCUAGAGUGCGGUAGAAGGUGGUGGAAUUCCCGGUGUAGCAGUGAAAUGCGUAGAGAUCGGGAGGAACAUCAGUUGCGAAGGCGGCCACCUGGACCAGCACUGACACUGAGGCACGAAAGCGUGGGGAGCAAACAGG